GAGAGGAACUGAACUUUAUUGCAAGAUAUUAUCUUCAGUAGCGUAGCAUAAUAUCUACAUGGCAAAAAUAAAUAAGAUUAAAUACAUUCAAUAAAAUAAAGAAUAAAUGAUUUACAUAAAACUAAUAAAGCUACCACUUUAUAUUACAAAUGAUGAUUACCUACCUUCAUCAAUAGAAGAAAUAGACAUUGAAUUUCUAGAAUAUUCCUCGACAAAACUAUUGCCUCCAGAAACUCUGGCAAUGCCAGUGCUUGUACUGCUAGGAUUGGAAUUGGUAUUAGUAUUAGUAUUAUUGUUAGUGUUGGUGAAAGCAGAAGUUCCAGUAGUUGUCCAAUGUCCUCGACGGCCUUGAAUUCCAGGUUUACCAGGUAUAGGCAGAGUAAAUGAGUCGCUCACAAGCAUGAGAUGAACAGAGUUCAUAUCAGGCCUAUCCGAAACACUUUGUUGACAGCAUAACAAUCCUAGUUGAAUGCACAUUGCUGCCUCGUCACGAUUGCACUUAGCAAGACUGGGGUCAACCAAAUCUAACGUCUUUCCUCCUUGAUAAAGCCUCCAUGUCUGUUUGAAAAAAGCAAAAGAAAAAAAAAUAUUAUGAAAAAGAAAAAAAGAUCAAACCAAUUGACUCAGCUCCAGUGAAGAUGGGAGGGGGUUGGUAGUCGUUCAAAAGCAACACUAGAAUUGCAGACUAGCAACUCAAAGCUUGAUAGACAUUCUAAAAUUUGGAAAAAUUUUAUUUUAAUACUAUUUAUAUGCAGACUUAUCCUUCUGAUGUAUGUCUAAGCCAUAAAUCUUGACUUGACAGUUGACCACAUUGCUAUUCUCAGCCAUCUUCAAUUUUUCAUUUCAUUUGUCUCAUACUUGUGCCUCUUAGCUCUCAUAAACACAUAGGUCGAAUAGUAAGUGGCUUAAACAUGUACACCAAUACUGCUACCUAACACAGCCUUAGUUUUGCAUUUUAUGCGUUAGAUUGCCCAUUAUAGAAUUUUUUUUUUCUUUUUAUUUGAGG
rnacentral:misc_RNA from 1 species